AGUGGCAGUGGAGGGAGGGAAGAUGGCGGAGGUGCCGACCCUGGCGUCGCGCUGUCUCCCCAGGGGGAGAUAAUCGAGGGCUGCCGCCUACCCGUGCUGCGGCGGAACCAGGACAACGAAGAUGAGUGGCCCCUGGCCGAGAUCCUGAGCGUGAAGGACAUCAGUGGCCGGAAGCUUUUCUACGUCCAUUACAUUGACUUCAACAAACGUCUGGAUGAAUGGGUGACGCAUGAGCGGCUGGACCUAAAGAAGAUCCAGUUCCCCAAGAAAGAGGCCAAGACCCCCACUAAGAACGGACUUCCUGGGUCCCGUCCUGGCUCUCCAGAGAGAGAGGUGAAACGGAAGGUGGAGGUGGUUUCACCAGCAACUCCAGUGCCCAGCGAGACAGCCCCGGCCUCGGUUUUUCCCCAGAAUGGAGCCGCCCGUAGGGCAGUGGCAGCCCAGCCAGGACGGAAGCGAAAAUCGAAUUGUUUGGGCACUGAUGAGGACUCCCAGGACAGCUCUGAUGGAAUACCGUCAGCACCACGCAUGACUGGCAGCCUGGUGUCUGAUCGAAGCCACGACGACAUCGUCACC
rnacentral:lncRNA from 1 species